GACGAACGCUGGCGGCGUGCCUAAUACAUGCAAGUCGAGCGCUGAAGGUUGGCUCUUGUACCGACUGGAUGAGCAGCGCACGGGUGAGUAACGCGUGGGGAAUCUGCCUUUGAGCGGGGGACAACAUUUGGAAACGAGUGCUAAUACCGCAUAAAAACUUUAAACACAGGUUUUAAGUUUGAAAGACGCAAUUGCAUCACUGAAUCAUGAUCUCGCGUUGUAUUAGCUAGUUGGUGAGGUAAAGGCUCUGCAAGGCGAUGAUAGAUAGCCGCCCUGAGAGGGUGGUCUGCCGGAUUGGGACUGGGACACGGCCCAAACGCCUACGGGAGGCAGCAGGAGUGAAUCGGCGGCAAUGGACGGAAGGCUGACCGAACAAGGCCGGAUGAGUGAAGAAGGUUUUCGGAUGGUAAAACUCGGCUGGUAGAGAAGAACGUUGGUGAGAGUGGAAAGCUCAGCGAGUGACGGUAACUAGCCAGAAAGGGACGGCUAACUACGUG
rnacentral:rRNA from 1 species